UCGGCUAACUCCGUGCCAGCAGCCGCGGUAAUACGGAGGAUCCGAGCGUUAUCCCGGAUUUAUUGGGUAUAAAGGAUGCGUAGGCGGCCCGAUAAAGUCAGGGGUGAUAAUACCGGUGGCUCCACCAUCGCAGUGCUUUUGAUACUGACGCGCUUGAAUCCAUAUGAAGUGGGCGGAAUAAGACGAAGUAGCGGUGAAAUGCAUAGAUAUGUCGUAGAACUCCCGAUUGCGAAGGCAGCUCACUAAGCUGGUAUUGACGCUGAUGCACGAAAAGCGUGGGGAUCGAACAGGAUUAGAUACCCCUGGUAGUCCACGCCCUAAACGAUGAUAUACUCGAUGUUGGCGAUAGACAGCCAGCGUCCCAGCGAAAGCGUUAAGUUAUCCACCUGGGGAGUACGCCCGCAAGGGUGAAACUCAAAGGAAUUGACGGGGGCCCGCACAAGCGGAGGAGCAUGUGGUUUAAUUCGAUGAUACGCGCAGGAACCUUACCCCGGCUUGAAAGUUAGUGGAGGAUGCAGAGACGCAUCCGUCCUUCGGGACACGAAAAUAGGUGCUGCAUGGCUGUCGUCAGCUCGUGCCGUGAGGUGUUGGGUUAAGUCCCGCAACGAGCGCAACCCCUAUGUUUAGUUGCCAGCAUGUAAUGGUGGGGACUUUAAACAGACUGCCUGUGCAAACACUGAGGAAGGUGGGGACGACGUCAAGUCAUCCAUGGCCCUUACGUCCGGGGCUACACACGUGCUACAACAGGACGGUACAGCCGGGCAGCUAGCCGGCAACAGCGUGCUAAUCUCUACAAAGCC
rnacentral:rRNA from 1 species